rnacentral:rRNA from 1 species
GGGGAAUAUUGGACAAUGGGCGGAAGCCUGAUCCAGCAACGCCGCGUGAGGGAUGACGGCCUUCGGGUUGUAAACCUCUUUCAGCGGGGACGAAGCGCCGAUGAUGGUGGUGACGGUACCCGCAGAAGAAGCACCGGCCAACUACGUGCCAGCAGCCGCGGUAAUACGUAGGGUGCGAGCGUUGUCCGGAAUUAUUGGGCGUAAAGGGCUCGUAGGCGGUUUGUCGCGUCGGGAGUGAAAACACCGGGCUUAACUCGGUGCUUGCUUUCGAUACGGGCAGACUAGAGGUAUGCAGGGGAGAACGGAAUUCCCGGUGUAGCGGUGAAAUGCGCAGAUAUCAGGAGGAACACCGGUGGCGAAGGCGGUUCUCUGGGCAUUACCUGACGCUGAGGAGCGAAAGUGUGGGGAGCGAAC